CACGUGGGGAGCAAGCGUUGUUCGGAUUUACUGGGCGUAAAGGGCGCGUAGGCGGCAAUUCAAGUCAGCUGUGAAAUCUCCGGGCUUAACUCGGAACGGUCAGCUGAUACUGCUUUGCUAGAGUGCAGAAGGGGCAACUGGAAUUCUCGGUGUAGCGGUGAAAUGCGUAGAUAUCGAGAGGAACACCUGCGGCGAAGGCGGGUUGCUGGGCUGACACUGACGCUGAUGCGCGAAAGCUAGGGGAGCGAACGGG
rnacentral:rRNA from 1 species